rnacentral:rRNA from 1 species
GACGAACGCUGGCGGCGUGCCUAAUACAUGCAAGUAGAACGCACAGUUUAUACCGUAGCUUGCUACACCAUAGACUGUGAGUUGCGAACGGGUGAGUAACGCGUAGGUAACCUGCCUGGUAGCGGGGGUUAAUUUUUGAAAACGUUACUUAUUCCGCCUUAUUUUUAUUUUUUGCUUAUUAUUUAAUUGAAAAUUCCUUUUCCUUCACUACCAGUUGAACUGCGUUGUAUUAGCUAGUAGGUGAGGUAACGGCUCACCUAGGCGACGAUACAUAGCCGACCUGAGAGGGUGAUCGGCCACACUGGGACUGAGACACGGCCCAGACUCCUACGGGAGGCAGCAGUAGGGAAUCUUCGGCAAUGGACGAAAGUCUGACCGAGCAACGCCGCGUGAGUGAAGAAGGUUUUCGGAUCGUAAAGCUCUGUUGUAAGAGAAGAACGGGUGUGAGAGUGGAAAGUUCACACUGUGACGGUAUCUUACCAGAAAGGGACGGCUAACUACGUG